rnacentral:lncRNA from 1 species
GCUGUUCCUGCCCGAGGGAACAUGGACUUCAGUGGAAGAGACACUCAGAAGAGAGCUGCGAAACAAAUUACAAUGUAGAUGAUUCCGUAGCUGGGCUGCAGCACCGUCCCUGGAGAGCACAUGACAGGAAUGCAUGUUGGGCAGGAUGUGAAGUUGAGCCCUGGGCUGAAGCAAACUUAACCCCACCUGCGGACAGGACACUUCUGAAGCCGCUGCCUCGGCUUCCACCAGAAGCUGCAUCUCUGUGCUGCUAGAGAUGGAGAGCCCUGUCUUAGCUGGUUCAGUCGGGGCUGAGUAUUCAGCAGCUAAAGCUGCAUGUACUGUGACCUUCUGAGCCAAAGGCAGGGAAAGAUGCUCUCUAAUCCAUCUGGAAGUGAUUUUGACACCUGCCACAGUUGCGUUCGGGGAGAACCCGAGCAAUUAGCCAGCAGCGCCCCCUGGCGCCUCUUUCACCGCAAGUGUUCGGCUCUCAACUUGUUCAACCACCCUCCACCCGCUCCACGGGCAACUUUUCCGGGAAGGCGCCUCCAAAGACCUCUGUGAGUAGCGUAGGCUGCUCUGCUCUGACAACCUCUUCGGGGUAAAUUUCUUUUCCAUUUGAACAGCUUCUCCUUAGUUAAGGAGAAACCGUUAUUGCCCGGUUGCUUUUUCGUCUUUUGGAUGGAGAGAAGCAGAGGAAUUCUGGGCGGAGGCCAACGAUUAGCUGCAACAUCUACUGAUCACUUCCAUGAAGUCUUUGAGCCUUUGUAUAAAUAAAACACCAGCCGGGGGCUCCUUCUGCUCCCAUUGAUGCCCGAGUGCCAACUACAGGUUUGACUCUGAGACCCUCCUUAAAAAAUUAGGAAAAAAAAUUUUUAAAACGUUUUUAAAUUGGAUUUUUAUUGCCUAAGGAGGGAUCUGUAAAAUACGUAGAGUGGGAAGAAUGCAGAUAAAUAAGACCUGAAAGUUGUCCUCAAAUAUAUCAAAGCCAUACUGGAUAGUGGACCUGCUGGAGAAUAGAAAAAUAAACUGUUGAAUGCCUCUCCAUCAUUUUCUCUCCUGACACCCUAGUGGAGGGGCUCAUGAGUACCCGAAUGCCCAAAAUAUGGCCCAAAGGGAAGAUCCUAAAGAGUACACUAACUGCAUACUCAAGCCUGAAUUUAAUUGACUCGGUGGCAGAAACAAAAUUGUCCUGGUAAUGGGUUAUUCUAGCUCAGGUUACAAUAGCAGGAAAUUUUUAAAUAAUUGUGGAAAAAUGCACUUCAGGAGACAAUUAACUAUAUGAGCUACCCAGAGUAGGUUAGGGUGACCCUUGUCAAGACAUUCAUUUGAGAAAUAGGAAAGAAAGCAGGUCAUUUUUCUGUCUUAAAAAAAGAUUUGUAUUUUUCAUAUUGUGGCAGAAUUGAAACUUCUUACGCGGCUCAAGCUACUUAAAGAUUAUUCAGUGUUUGACAGAUGUUUGGUCAGACUGACUGUACAAUGUGUUCUGAUAUGAUUCACUGUUCCUGAAAGGGGGAAAAUCUUCUAACAGUUCUGAAG